rnacentral:rRNA from 1 species
UACGGGGGGAGCAAGCGUUGUUCGGAUUUACUGGGCGUAAAGGGCGCGUAGGCGGUCAGCACAAGUCAGUUGUGAAAUCUCCGGGCUUAACUCGGAAAGGUCAACUGAUACUGUGCGACUAGAGUGCAGAAGGGGCAACUGGAAUUCUCGGUGUAGCGGUGAAAUGCGCAGAUAUCGGGAGGAACACCAAUGGCGAAGGCAGCUUGCUGGGACGGUACUGACGCUGAGGCGCGAAAGCGUGGGGAGCAAACAGG